UUAAACUAAAGCCGAACGCCCUCAGAACUGUUAUACGUUUCCGAAGUAAGAAGCCCAACCACGAAAGGACUUUAUUUUCCCCGACUCCACGAAAGCUGGCGUAACAAACUGGGAUUAGAUACCCCACUAUGCCCAGCCCUAAACUUUGAUAGAUCAUUACACCCACUAUCCGCCAGGGUAGCUACGAGCAUUAGCUUAAAACCCAAAGGACUUGGCGGUGCUUUACAUCCACCUAGAGGAGCCUGUUCUAGAACCGAUAACCCCCGUUAAACCUCACCCUCCCUUGUUUUUUCCGCCUAUAUACCGCCGUCGUCAGCUUACCCUGUGAAGGUUUAAUAGUAAGCAGAAUUGGUAAAACCCAAAACGCCAGGUCGAGGUGUAGCGAAUGAGAGGGGAAGAAAUGGGCUACAUUUCCUAAACCAGGAAAUACGGACAAUGUACUGAAACGUACAUUAGAAGGAGGAUUUAGCAGUAAGCAGAAAAUAGACGUUCCGCUGAAACUGGCCCUGAAGCGCGCACACACCGCCCGUCACUCCCCCCGAGCUUCUUAAUAACCAACACCUGCAAAGGGGAGGCAAGUCGUAACAUGGUAAGUGUACCGGAAGGUGCACUUGGAAAAAG
rnacentral:rRNA from 1 species